rnacentral:rRNA from 1 species
AUGAUGGCGGCGCCCAGCGACCUCGCCGGGUUGAUGCCGGUGCCCGUGAUGGGGAUCGUCGCCAGGUGCACCAGAAACACCGCGAAUCCGAUCGGAAGCGGGGCCAGGAUCUGCAAUUUCAAUUCGUCAGUCGUUGACAAAACCAAACACGGUGGCCGCUGCCGGCCACCGGUGCACUGUAUGCACGUAUGUACUUACGGGGACGUGGGAGUCUCUGGCGCUGCGCUUGGCGUCGGUGGCGGAGAAGACGGUGUACACCAGCACGAACGUGCCGACGAUCUCGGCCCCGAGGCCGUCCCCCUUGGUGUACCCGGGCGCGACGGAGUUGGCGCCGCCGCCGUUGCCCUGGUACAGCGUGGUCUGGAACCCCUUGACAACCCCAGCCCCGCAUAUCGCGCCCAGGCACUGCAUCACCAUGUAGAACACGGCCCUGGUGAGCGACAGCUUCCUUGCCAAAAACAGCCCGAAGGUGACCGCGGGGUUGAUGUGGCCGCCGGAGAUGCCGGCGGUGCAGUAGACGAGCACGAAGAUCAUGCCGCCGAAGCUCCAGGCGAUGCCCUGGAUGCCGACCGUGCCGCACUUGGACCCCGAAGGGUUGCCCACCACGCCCAUCACGGUGAGCACCGAGAUGUAGAGGAAGAGGAAGGUGGCCAGGAACUCGGCGAUCCCGGCCCGGUAGAAGGACCAGGAGGUGAGCUCCUCCGCCUCGAAGAGCGGGGCCGGGGGCGGCUCCUUGUAGUCCUUCUCGUCCGCGCCGCCGCCCUGCGCCGCCGUGCCGAUGGGCUGGCGCUCCGAGUAGCGGUUCGCGCCCAGGCGCACGUCCUCCUCCUUGCCCUCCAUGGCCGGUGGUGCUUCACUGAGCUCUUGGCUUGGUUGAGAGGCGGAGGAGAUGAUGUGUGUGUGUGUGUGAGAGAGAGAGAGAGAUGA